AGAGUCUGUCCCCUUCCUUCUUACAGCCCCCCUUUUGAUACUGAAAGGCCGCACCCGGAUCUGCCUCAAGUCUUCUCUUCCGCGGGCUCAACAGCCCCAGCUCUCAGCCUAUCCUUAUAGGGAGAUGUUCUAUCCCUGGGAUUGUUUCUGUAGCCCUCCUCCGGACGUGCCCCAACAGGUCAACAUGUCUCCCAUACUGCGAACACCACACCUAGAUAUACCUAGAAAGAGCACUCCAGGGGAGAACUCCCCAGCUCUUGUGGCUCACCUGGUUAUGCUUUGCUAUUUGCUUCCCUGGAGAAAGACCUACAACUAUAGUACAAUCACCAGCUUCUAGAGUAAAUAGGAGCAAGAGAAGCUCUCUCACUUUUUAUUGGAUAUGGCUGAUUGCCUCAUUGGGCAAGCUGUGAUUGGAGGCAGUAUAAAAAGGCAGGUCAGGGCUGAGGAGGCAGCACUCAGUGAGGUUUGUGGUGGUGGAAGGAAGCAAAGAGUCUACAGUGAGCAGCCAUUUCUGAGGACAGCUACUGCUUCUUACAAGUAUUUGAUUUCUCCUUGGAGGAUCAUUUCUCAGUGAACCUGGAAUUUCCUGUUACAGGGACUGAGGCUCAGAUGCAGGAAUUACUACGACUUGCUUGUUUGGACCACUUCUCAGAAGGUAAGGAUUUUUAACUCUUUUUUUAAUCAUGAAGGGCUUCUGUAUAUUGGUUCUGGUUUAAGAAUUAAGGCUGGUAAUAGGAAUGAUGUGUAGGAUUAUAAGGUUUUCUCUUGUUUGAGUUUUGAGUAGGUGUGAUGGGGGGGCUGGUAAGGUGGCUCACUGGGUUAUUAAUAGUAUGCGUUGUGUAAGAGGCAGUAAAGAGGGUUGUGACUGGUUAAAAUAAUUGUUACCAUAACUGUCUUGUUCCACUGAUCUCACUCCUGAUUGAGAUCCAACUACGCUUGUUAACUAGUAGCACUAUACUUGUUAGGUAGUAAUCAUCAUGUGAUUACGAGUGGCAGAAUGAGGAUUUGCCUGGUUGUUCUUUCACAGUUGAUAUUAGCUAGGCAGAAUAGUAUCAAGGAGGUAAGUCCAUGGGAGGCGAUGAGCAUUUCUGCCCCUGAGAAUAAUCUGUGGAUUGGAAUUAUGCUUGCACCUAUGAAUGACAGGUAAGUAAGCAGUAAGUGAUAUUAGAUCAGUUUGGCAUAGGCAAACUGACCAAGCUAGUAAUGCCCUCUGUAGAGCCAGGGUGAAGAAAGAAUAAUGUAGGUGGUUUGGUGGAAGGGUAAUCUGUAUAACGCUGUAUUCUCCUAGCUUUAAUGGCAGCAAGUAGCAUUGAGCCUGCACUGGGGUUUUUCUAUGCGGGCUUCUGGGAGGCAUACAUGGAGACCACAUAGGGGGGCUUUUCCUGUGAAAUUCAUCAGGUGGACUAGGUGAAAUAGGCUGUUCAUGAGGUUGUGAGGACAGAGGGUGGAUUUCAGACCAAGCACGUGUAGAGUGCUGGAUUUUAUGUGCAGGUAUAGGAUUGUGAUUUGAAGUAGUAACGAGAUGAUGAGAAUGUAGGACGGAUGCUACAUGUCAGUAUUUAGGUGCUCUGCUUGUUCUGUGAUCAUGUCUUGAAAACUAGUGCUGGGAUUAGGGUUACUUUAAAUGAGGUACAAUAAUACAAGUUCUGUGAUUGAGAAUGCUAGGAGGGAUGGUUUGUUUAUAAUUAUGGUUGAAAUAAGCAUCUAUUUGUGGGAGAGAUUGAUGUAGAUAACUUUGGCACAUAACUGUAAGUGGGAGGAGUCAAGGAUGAUACUAGAAAUGGGGAUGAGACUUGGUCAAUACCUGUUCAGAGGUAUUCUUAAAAGGUAGCAUAUUGAAGUAUGUCAUCAGAGACCAAUGGUGGCUAUUAGAAUAAUACAAUUGCUCAGCUUGGA